rnacentral:rRNA from 1 species
ACUCCUACGGGAGGCAGCAGUGGGGAAUAUUGGACAAUGGGCGCAAGCCUGAUCCAGCCAUGCCGCGUGAGUGAUGAAGGCCUUAGGGUUGUAAAGCUCUUUUGUCCGGGACGAUAGUGACGGUACCGGAAGAAUAAGCAUCGGCUAACUCUGUGCCAGCAGCCGCGGUAAU